rnacentral:lncRNA from 10 species
CACCAGCAACCUGCUGGGGUCCAGUUCCAGUCUGUGGGAGGUUUGUUCUUUCGCUCUUCUCAGUGACUCUUGCUGUUGCUCACUUUUUGGGGCUGCGCUAAUCUUUAUGAGCUGUAACACUCACUGCGAAGGUCUGCACUUCACUCCUGAAGACAGCGAGACCACGAAGGGAGACCACCGGGAGGGACGAACAACUCUGGAGUGCCAGCUUUAUGAACUGUAACCCUCACCGCGAAGGUCUGCAGCUUCACUCCUGAAGUCAGCGAGACCACAAACCCAGCAGUAGGAAGAAACUCCAGACACGUCUGAACAUCAGAAGGAACAAACUCUGGACACACCAUCUUUAAGAACUGUAACACUCACCACAAGUGUCCGCGGCUUCAUACUUGAAGUCAGUGAGACCAAGAACCCGCCAAUUCCGGACACAGUAGCUGGGAUUACAUGCGCCCGCCACCACACCCAGCCACGCCAGGGGGCCAAUAUUUCUGGCUUUCAAACUUCAUUAAAGGCUCAGAGAAAGGAAAAUUCAAGGCUGUUUGUGGAGGGGAAGAGAACAGAGAGCAAAGGUUGCGUAGAUACCAAACCAGAAAGGACUCAUUCCCUACACCAGGAUUGAACCCCAGGCCACCAUUGUAAAAUGGCGGAGGCCAAAACAAAACCAUUGUCACGUGGUUGCAGGCCACACUCCCAAAGAUGUGAAACAAGAUGGAGGCCUGCCACAGAGUUUGCUGCGGACUAUACAGAAAGACAUGGAAAGCACACCAGAUUGGCUACAACUCAAGACCAACCUCAUAAAUCCUUUUUCAUAAUUAAAACUUUACAGAGAAUAUAAACAGUGAUCUCUAU